rnacentral:misc_RNA from 1 species
AUGAAGAUGGGGUUUCUUUGGGAACAAUGAAAUUGCCAAAAGAUAUUGAUCUUGCUAGAUUUGAAACCCUACUUUUUCAGUGGGCUAACAGCCUUUGUCAAGGAGCUAUGUUGCCACUACCGGUGCCUCUAAAGGUUGAUAAAAUUCCUCGCGGAGCCAGAGUUUGUUUCAUUUCAGUUGAUGAUGCUCAAACUGAAGUUCUUGCAUAUAUAGACUGUAUGGUUUUCCCUGCAACUGAGACUUCACCUCCAAUAUUUCGAGCCAUACGAAAUGGACCCUCGAGAGAUAAGGCGCCUCCCGGUGAGCCAAGAAUCAUGAGAAGCCUCUUAGGUGCCCUUCAGAAGUCUGUUGAGAUAGCUAGUGUUUGAAAGUUGGGAACAAUUUUUUGUAUAUUUUUACAAAACUUCUCUCUUUCAACACUCUUUUUUAUGUAUAAAGAACAUUUCACUUCUUUAAAACUCAAUGAAAA